CCUACGGGGUGCAGCAGUGGGGAAUAUUGGACAAUGGGCGAAAGCCUGAUCCAGCCAUGCCGCGUGUGUGAAGAAGGCCUUCGGGUUGUAAAGCACUUUCAGUGGGGAAGAAAGCCUUGGGGCUAAUACCCUCGAGGAAGGACAUCACCCACAGAAGAAGCACCGGCUAACUCCGUGCCAGCAGCCGCGGUAAUACGGAGGGGUGCGAGCGUUAAUCGGAAUUACUGGGCGUAAAGCGCGCGUAGGCGGUCUGAUAAGCCGGUUGUGAAAGCCCCGGGCUCAACCUGGGAACGGCAUCCGGAACUGUCAGGCUAGAGUGCAGGAGAGGAAGGUAGAAUUCCCGGUGUAGCGGUGAAAUGCGUAGAGAUCGGGAGGAAUACCAGUGGCGAAGGCGGCCUUCUGGACUGACACUGACGCUGAGGUGCGAAAGCGUGGGUAGCAAACAGGAUUAGAUACCUGGUAGUC
rnacentral:rRNA from 1 species